rnacentral:rRNA from 1 species
AUUGAACGCUGGCGGCAUGCUUUACACAUGCAAGUCGGACGGCAGCGGGGGUGCUUGCACCUGCCGGCGAGUGGCGAACGGGUGAGUAAUAUAUUGGAACGUACCGAGUAGUGGGGGAUAACUAAGCGAAAGUUUAGCUAAUACCGCAUACGACCUGAGGGUGAAAGCGGGGGACGGGAGACUGCCUCGCGCUAUUUGAGCGGCCAAUAACUGAUUAGCUAGUUGGUGGGGUAAAGGCCUACCAAGGCGAUGAUCAGUAGCGGGUCUGAGAGGAUGAUCCGCCACACUGGGACUGAGAGACGGCCCAGACUCCUACGGGAGGCAGCAGUGGGGAAUUUUGGACAAUGGGGGCAACCCUGAUCCAGCCAUGCCGCGUGUCUGAAGAAGGCCUUCGGGUUGUAAAGGACUUUUGUUAGGGAAGAAAAGGGAAGUGCUAAUAUCACUUUUUGCUGACGGUACCUAAAGAAUAAGCACCGGCUAACUACGUGCCAGCAGCCGCGGUAAUACGUAGGGUGCGAGCGUUAAUCGGAAUUACUGGGCGUAAAGCGAGCGCAGACGGUUAUUUAAGUCAGAUGUGAAAUCCCCGAGCUUAACUUGGGAACUGCGUUUGAAACUGGGUAACUAGAGUAUGUCAGAGGGGGGUAGAAUUCCACGUGUAGCAGUGAAAUGCGUAGAGAUGUGGAGGAAUACCGAUGGCGAAGGCAGCCCCCUGGGAUAAUACUGACGUUCAUGCUCGAAAGCGUGGGUAGCAAACAGG